rnacentral:lncRNA from 1 species
CCAUAGCAAACGAACGAGAAUAUCUUUCAAGGUUCUCGGCACAGAGCAUACCUGUUGCAUAAUAAUAUUGUCUCAAAGAAUUGUCAUCACUCACAACAACAAGUUUGUAGGCUGCAUACCAGAGAGGUUGUGCCAAAGAGUUAGUUUCUUUGUACUUUUCUUUAGUUGAUUCGUUUCUUCUUUGGAGAAUUCUCUUGAAACCCCUUAUCAAUAGGCUAUGAAAUUUUAUAUUAAAAUUGCAUUUAAGGCAAUA